CCUACGGGAGGCAGCAGUGAGGAAUAUUGGUCAAUGGACGAGAGUCUGAACCAGCCAAGUAGCGUGAAGGAUGACUGCCCUAUGGGUUGUAAACUUCUUUUAUAUGGGAAUAAAAUGUUCCACGUGUGCGCUUUUGUAUGUACCUUAUGAAUAAGGAUCGGCUAACUCCGUGCCAGCAGCCGCGGUAAUACGGAGGAUCCGAGCGUUAUCCGGAUUUAUUGGGUUUAAAGGGAGCGUAGGUGGGUUGUUAAGUCAGUUGUGAAAGUUUGCGGCUCAACCGUGAAAUUGCAGUUGAAACUGGCAGUCUUGAGUGCAGUAGAGGUGGGCGGAAUUCGUGGUGUAGCGGUGAAAUGCUUAGAUAUCACGAAGAACUCCGAUUGCGAAGGCAGCUCACUGGACUGCAACUGACACUGAGGCUCGAAAGUGUGGGUAUCAAACAGGAUUAGAUACCCGUGUAGUC
rnacentral:rRNA from 1 species